rnacentral:piRNA from 1 species
GUUAGUGAUGAUGUAUAAAGCUAA